AAAAAAAAAAAAAAGCCAACAAGCCAAAACAAACAACUAAUUCAAAUGCUACAGCUGGAACACAUGCAUGUUUCACAUGGAUUUGGGAAAUGGACUUAACACCCACAAGUUUACAAGAAUACUUAAUCUUGGGAAUGAGAGUGGUAGGACAUGACAAGCUUUUAGCUAAAGGAGUCAAAUGAUCAAUAUGAAACAAAAUAGGUUGUCUCAUAACGCUGAAUUGCUCACAAAAUGCAGACACCCAUGUUUCUUGUUGAAAAUGAAAGACAUUCAAAAAUUUUUAUUGUUUAGUGUUAGUUUUUAAACUAAUCUUGAAGAAGAUUCCUGAUGGUAUUUGCAGCUUGCAAACACUGAUCUCAGCUAUGCUGUUAAUACUUAUAAAACAUGCCAAGAGGAACCUUUGUGCCUGUGGAUCCUUUAUGAACAGACUGAUAAGGAAUGUGUUGGCUCAUCCUGAAGAUCUCUGGGUAAAAUAAGACCUCUCAGGAAUGCUGGCUUGAGACAAGGAGAAAUGUCAGAACACUAAUUCUGUGGUGCAAAGCUUUUUAUUCUGACACUUCUGCUAAGAUGUGGCUAGGCUCUGGAUCCUGGAGAUGCAAAUGUCAGAGAAGAUAUAUGUGAGCAGUAGGUCCUGGCCGAGGAGGUGACAUUUAGGAUGCCCUUUCCAUCACAUGACAAAGCAGCUGAACAGCUUCAGUUACAGAACAGUGCCAGCUGCACUUCACUCCUCAGUUGCUCUUAAAGUGCUUCUCGUUUCCUCCAUACCGGUCUGCAUCAAGAGCUCCUGCAGCCUGGAGUCACCUGGGGUCCCUGGCAGUGAACACUUCAGAUAGGUAGAGCUGCAGCAGUGCAUGCAAAUCUGUAAGUUGAUAUGGCCAAAAGGAUUUCCAAAUUAACUAAACAGCCCUCAGCU